AUUCUGGUGCAGACAUUUUUAAACUUUUUCUCAUGCACACUGCACUGCUUGGACAUCUCAAGAUAUUCUGUCUUUCCAGACUAAAUCAGCAACUUUCUCCUGUUACUUGCAGAUUUGACUACCCACAAAGCCCUGCAUUCAGCAGACUCAUUCCUCACUCAGUCCCAUCAUCAGACCUCAUGGCAGGCUUUGAAGAAGAUGUGUGUUUACCUGAAGCUCCUGGCAGGAGAGAUAAGAGGCCUGUUUGGCAGAUGGUACGAGCCAUCAUCAGCGGACACAGCUGCAGCCCAGACCCUAACAAGCCUGGCGUACGAGCAGGUAUUAUCCAGCUCAUUCUGGCCUGUCAGCCGCCAUUAGCCUCCAGCUCACAUGUGUAAGGAAGGAGCACACUCUCACAUGUGUUUGAAUGGACACAUUCAUAGAAAAGGUGCCAGAGUGGGGCAGCAGAUUCGGCUUUGGCAACCCGUCCUCCAUCCCUCAGAUCACGCGUGCCCUGCUGUCCAUCUGCAUUCAGAGCAGACUCACAGACAGGCCACACCUCAGUGUUUGGGCUCAGAAAGACUCAGUAAUAAAUAAAGUGAGUCAGAUGUGUUAAUUAAGCCA
ensembl:lncRNA